rfam:Salmo salar isolate Sally breed double haploid chromosome ssa07, whole genome shotgun sequence.
UGCACGCAAAACUGUAACUCGCUUUGGAUAAAAGCGUUUGCUAAAUGGCAUAUA